rnacentral:rRNA from 1 species
GAAUGCUGACAUAAGUAACGAUAAAGCGGGUGAAAAGCCCGCUCGCCGGAAGACCAAGGGUUCCUGUCCAACGUUAAUCGGGGCAGGGUGAGUCGACCCCUAAGGCGAGGCCGAAAGGCGUAGUCGAUGGGAAACGGGUUAAUAUUCCCGUACUUGGUGUUACUGCGAAGGGGGGACGGAGAAGGCUAUGUUGGCCGGGCGACGGUUGUCCCGGUUUAAGCGUGUAGGUGUGUGUUCCAGGUAAAUCCGGUUCACUUUAACACUGAGGCGUGACGACGAGGCACUACGGUGCUGAAGCAACAAAUGCCCUGCUUCCAGGAAAAGCCUCUAAGCAUCAGGUAACAUCAAAUCGUACCCCAAACCGACACAGGUGGUCAGGUAGAGAAUACCAAGGCGCUUGAGAGAACUCGGGUGAAGGAACUAGGCAAAAUGGUGCCGUAACUUCGGGAGAAGGCACGCUGACACGUAGGUGAAGUGAUUUACUCAUGGAGCUGAAGUCAGUCGAAGAUACCAGCUGGCUGCAACUGUUUAUUAAAAACACAGCACUGUGCAAACACGAAAGUGGACGUAUACGGUGUGACGCCUGCCCGGUGCCGGAAGGUUAAUUGAUGGGGUCAGCGCAAGCGAAGCUCCUGAUCGAAGCCCCGGUAAACGGCGGCCGUAACUAUAACGGUCCUAAGGUAGCGAAAUUCCUUGUCGGGUAAGUUCCGACCUGCACGAAUGGCGUAAUGAUGGCCAGGCUGUCUCCACCCGAGACUCAGUGAAAUUGAACUCGCUGUGAAGAUGCAGUGUACCCGCGGCAAGACGGAAAGACCCCGUGAACCUUUACUAUAGCUUGACACUGAACAUUGAGCCUUGAUGUGUAGGAUAGGUGGGAGGCUUUGAAGUGUGGACGCCAGUCUGCAUGGAGCCGGCCUUGAAAUACCACCCUUUAAUGUUUGAUGUUCUAACGUGGACCCGUAAUCCGGGUUGCGGACAGUGUCUGGUGGGUAGUUUGACUGGGGCGGUCUCCUCCUAAAGAGUAACGGAGGAGCACGAAGGUUGGCUAAUCCUGGUCGGACAUCAGGAGGUUAGUGCAAUGGCAUAAGCCAGCUUGACUGCGAGCGUGACGGCGCGAGCAGGUGCGAAAGCAGGUCAUAGUGAUCCGGUGGUUCUGAAUGGAAGGGCCAUCGCUCAACGGAUAAAAGGUACUCCGGGGAUAACAGGCUGAUACCGCCCAAGAGUUCAUAUCGACGGCGGUGUUUGGCACCUCGAUGUCGGCUCAUCACAUCCUGGGGCUGAAGUAGGUCCCAAGGGUAUGGCUGUUCGCCAUUUAAAGUGGUACGCGAGCUGGGUUUAGAACGUCGUGAGACAGUUCGGUCCCUAUCUGCCGUGGGCGCUGGAGAACUGAGGGGGGCUGCUCCUAGUACGAGAGGACCGGAGUGGACGCAUCACUGGUGUUCGGGUUGUCAUGCCAAUGGCACUGCCCGGUAGCUAAAUGCGGAAGAGAUAAGUGCUGAAAGCAUCUAAGCACGAAACUUGCCCCGA